rnacentral:rRNA from 1 species
CACUGGCAUCCUGAGUGGCAGUCACCAUUACUGGGCUUAAAGCGUUCGUAGCCAGUCCGAUGGGUCCUUAGUGAAAUCCUGCGGCUUAACCGUAGGGCUUGCUGGGGAAACUAGCGGACUUGAGGAUGAGAGAGGCUAGAGGUACUUCUUGGGUAGGGGUGAAAUCCUAUAAUCCUAGAAGGACCAACAGUGGCGAAGGCGUCUAGCAUGAGCAUGCCUGACGGUGAGGAACGAAAGCCAGGGUCGCGAAACGGAUUAGAUACCCGCGUA